GACGAACGCUGGCGGCGUGCUUAACACAUGCAAGUCGAACGGAAAGGCCCUGCUUUUGUGGGGUGCUCGAGUGGCGAACGGGUGAGUAACACGUGAGUAACCUGCCCAUGACUUUGGGAUAACUUCAGGAAACUGGGGCUAAUACCGGAUAGGAGCUCCUGCUGCAUGGUGGGGGUUGGAAAGUUUCGGCGGUUGGGGAUGGACUCGCGGCUUAUCAGCUUGUUGGUGGGGUAGUGGCUUACCAAGGCUUUGACGGGUAGCCAGCCUGAGAGGGUGACCGGCCACAUUGGGACUGAGAUACGGCCCAGACUCCUACGGGAGGCAGCAGUGGGGAAUAUUGCACAAUGGGCGGAAGCCUGAUGCAGCAACGCCGCGUGCGGGAUGACGGCCUUCGGGUUGUAAACCGCUUUCGCCUGUGACGAAGCGUGAGUGACGGUAAUGGGUAAAGAAGCACCGGCUAACUACGUG
rnacentral:rRNA from 1 species